CACGUAGGCGGAUCGGAAAGUUGGGGGUGAAAUCCCGGGGCUCAACCCCGGAACUGCCUCCAAAACUAUCGGUCUAGAGUUCGAGAGAGGUGAGUGGAAUUCCGAGUGUAGAGGUGAAAUUCGUAGAUAUUCGGAGGAACACCAGUGGCGAAGGCGGCUCACUGGCUCGAUACUGACGCUGAGGUGCGAAAGUGUGGGGAGCAAACA
rnacentral:rRNA from 1 species